rnacentral:rRNA from 1 species
AGAACGAACGCUGGCGGCAGGCCUAACACAUGCAAGUCGAACGCUCGUAGCAAUACGGGAGUGGCAGACGGGUGAGUAACGCGUGGGAACGUACCCUUCGGUUCGGAAUAACCCGGGGAAACUCGGGCUAAUACCGGAUACGUCCGCAAGGAGAAAGAUUUAUCGCCGAAGGAUCGGCCCGCGUCCGAUUAGCUAGUUGGUGGGUAAUGGCCCACCAAGGCGACGAUCGGUAGCUGGUCUGAGAGGAUGAUCAGCCACACUGGGACUGAGACACGGCCCAGACUCCUACGGGAGGCAGCAGUGGGGAAUAUUGGACAAUGGGCGCAAGCCUGAUCCAGCCAUGCCGCGUGAGUGAAGAAGGCCCUAGGGUUGUAAAGCUCUUUCAGCGGGAAGAUAAUGACGGUACCCGCAGAAGAAGCCCGACUAACUUCGUGCCAGCAGCCGC